UUCGCAAUGCCCGAAAGGGUGACGAAGCGACGCCGCGUGAGCGAUGAAGGUCUUCGGAUUGUAAAGCUCUGUCAGCUGGGGAGAAAGUUAGCGGGUUAAUAACCCGUUAAACUUGACGGUACCGGCAAAGGAAGCCACGGCUAACUCCGUGCCAGCAGCCGCGGUAAUACGGAGGUGGCAAGCGUUGUUCGGAUUUACUGGGUGUAAAGGACAUGUAGGCGUUUUGAUAAGUCGGAUGUGAAAUCCUUUGGCUCAACCAAAGAACUGCAUUCGAUACUGUUAAAAUUGAGUAUGGGAGAGGUAAGCGGAAUUCCGGAAGUAAGGGUGAAAUCUGUAGAUAUCCGGAGGAACACCAUUAGCGAAGGCGGCUUACUGGCCCAAUACUGACGCUGAAAUGUCGAAAGCUAGGGGAUCAAACAGGAUUGGAUACCCUGGUAGUCCUAGCUGUAAACGAUGGGCACUAAGUAGAGGGGUUUU
rnacentral:rRNA from 1 species